GCCUGUGUAGCUCAGUUGGUAAGAGUACGUCCUUGGUAAGGACGGGGUCCCGAGUUCGACUCUCGGCACAGGCU
rnacentral:tRNA from 1 species